AGGACUUCAAGGUAUAUGGAAUGGUUCCAA
rnacentral:piRNA from 1 species